GAGUUUGAUCCUGGCUCAGGAUGAACGCUGGCGGCGUGCCUAAUACAUGCAAGUCGAGCGAACAGAUAAGGAGCUUGCUCCUUUGACGUUAGCGGCGGACGGGUGAGUAACACGUGGGUAACCUACCUAUAAGACUGGAAUAACUCCGGGAAACCGGGGCUAAUGCCGGAUAACAUUUAGAACCGCAUGGUUCUAAAGUGAAAGAUGGUUUUGCUAUCACUUAUAGAUGGACCCGCGCCGUAUUAGCUAGUUGGUAAGGUAACGGCUUACCAAGGCAACGAUACGUAGCCGACCUGAGAGGGUGAUCGGCCACACUGGAACUGAGACACGGUCCAGACUCCUACGGGAGGCAGCAGUAGGGAAUCUUCCGCAAUGGGCGAAAGCCUGACGGAGCAACGCCGCGUGAGUGAUGAAGGUCUUCGGAUCGUAAAACUCUGUUAUUAGGGAAGAACAAAAGUGUAAGUAACUGUGCACGUCUUGACGGUACCUAAUCAG
rnacentral:rRNA from 1 species